rnacentral:rRNA from 1 species
UACGUAGGGUGCAAGCGUUGUCCGGAAUUAUUGGGCGUAAAGAGCUUGUAGGCGGUUUGUCGCGUCUGCUGUGAAAUUUCGGGGCUCAACCCCGAACUUGCAGUGGGUACGGGCAGACUAGAGUGUGGUAGGGGAGACUGGAAUUCCUGGUGUAGCGGUGAAAUGCGCCAGAUAUCAGGAGGAACACCGAUGGCGAAGGCAGGUCUCUGGGCCAUAACUGACGCUGAGAAGCGAAAGCAUGGGGAGCGAACAGG